rnacentral:rRNA from 1 species
AUUGAACUCGCUGUGAAGAUGCAGUGUACCCGCGGCAAGACGGAAAGACCCCGUGAACCUUUACUAUAGCUUGACACUGAACAUUGAGCCUUGAUGUGUAGGAUAGGUGGGAGGCUUUGAAGCGUGGACGCCAGUCUGCGUGGAGCCGACCUUGAAAUACCACCCUUUAAUGUUUGAUGUUCUAACGUGGACCCGUGAUCCGGGUUGCGGACAGUGUCUGGUGGGUAGUUUGACUGGGGCGGUCUCCUCCUAAAGAGUAACGGAGGAGCACGAAGGUUGGCUAAUCCUGGUCGGACAUCAGGAGGUUAGUGCAAUGGCAUAAGCCAGCUUGACUGCGAGCGUGACGGCGCGAGCAGGUGCGAAAGCAGGUCAUAGUGAUCCGGUGGUUCUGAAUGGAAGGGCCAUCGCUCAACGGAUAAAAGGUACUCCGGGGAUAACAGGCUGAUACCGCCCAAGAGUUCAUAUCGACGGCGGUGUUUGGCACCUCGAUGUCGGCUCAUCACAUCCUGGGGCUGAAGUAGGUCCCAAGGGUAUGGCUGUUCGCCAUUUAAAGUGGUACGCGAGCUGGGUUUAGAACGUCGUGAGACAGUUCGGUCCCUAUCUGCCGUGGGCGCUGGAGAACUGAGGGGGGCUGCUCCUAGUACGAGAGGACCGGAGUGGACGCAUCACUGGUGUUCGGGUUGUCAUGCCAAUGGCACUGCCCGGUAGCUAAAUGCGGAAGAGAUAAGUGCUGAAAGCAUCUAAGCACGAAACUUGCCCCGA